rnacentral:rRNA from 1 species
UGCAGUCGAGCGAGACCUUCGGGUCUAGCGGCGGACGGGUGAGUAACGCGUGGGAACGUGCCCUUCUCUACGGAAUAGCCCCGGGAAACUGGGAGUAAUACCGUAUACGCCCUUUGGGGGAAAGAUUUAUCGGAGAAGGAUCGGCCCGCGUUGGAUUAGGUAGUUGGUGGGGUAAUGGCCCACCAAGCCGACGAUCCAUAGCUGGUUUGAGAGGAUGAUCAGCCACACUGGGACUGAGACACGGCCCAGACUCCUACGGGAGGCAGCAGUGGGGAAUCUUAGACAAUGGGGGCAACCCUGAUCUAGCCAUGCCGCGUGAGUGAUGAAGGCCUUAGGGUUGUAAAGCUCUUUCAGCUGGGAAGAUAAUGACGGUACCAGCAGAAGAAGCCCCGGCUAACUCCGUGCCAGCAG